rnacentral:rRNA from 1 species
UUUUUCUCGCAUGGGAUUGAGACCAAAGAGGGGCCUCUGGCUUGCAAGCUCUCACCUGAUGAGGGGGUCGCGGCGUGUCAGCUUGGUUGGUGAGGUAAUGGCUUACCAAGGCGACGACGCGUAGCGGGUCUGAGAGGACGAUCCGUCACAUUGGGACUGAGAUACGGCCCAG